rnacentral:rRNA from 1 species
UGAGGAUAUUGGUCAAUGGGCGAAAGCCUGAACCAGCCACGCCGCGUGAAGGAUGAAGGUCUUCGGGUUGUAAAACUUUUUUUGUCGGGAAGAAAAGUGCAUCACGUGUGAUGUUUUGUAAGUACCUGAACAAUAAGGAUCGGCUAACUCCGAGCCAGCAGCCGCGGUAAUGAUAA